rnacentral:rRNA from 1 species
UACGAACCGUACAAACGUUAUUCGGAAUCACUGGGCUUAAAGGGUGCGUAGGCGGCCAUGUAAGUGGGGUGUGAAAUCCCUCGGCUCAACCGAGGAACUGCGCUCCAUACUGCAUGGCUUGAGGGAGACAGGGGUAAGCGGAACUGAUGGUGGAGCGGUGAAAUGCGUUGAUAUCAGGAGGAAUACCGAUGGCGAAGGCAGGUCUCUGGGCUGACACUGACGCUCAUGCACGAAAGCGUGGGGAGCAAACAGG